AUUGAACGCUGGCGGCAUGCUUUACACAUGCAAGUCGAACGGUAACAGGGAGCUUGCUCCGCUGACGAGUGGCGAACGGGUGAGUAAUGCGUCGGAACGUGCCGAGUAGUGGGGGAUAACGCAUCGAAAGGUGUGCUAAUACCGCAUACGUACUGAGGUAGAAAGUGGGGGACCUUCGGGCCUCACGCUAUUCGAGCGGCCGACGUCUGAUUAGCUAGUUGGUGAGGGAAAGGCUCACCAAGGCGACGAUCAGUAGCGGGUCUGAGAGGAUGAUCCGCAGCACUGGGACGGGGACACGGCCCAGACUCCUACGGGAGGCAGCAGUGGGGAAUUUUGGACAAUGGGCGCAAGCCUGAUCCAGCCAUGCCGCGUGUCUGAAGAAGGCCUUCGGGUUGUAAAGGACUUUUGUCCGGGAGCAAAUGCUGGUGGCUAACAUCCACCGGAGCUGAGAGUACCGGAAGAAUAAGCACCGGCUAACUACGUGCCAGCCGCCGCAGUAACAC
rnacentral:rRNA from 1 species